AUCCCUGCUGCACAAUGGGUAGCGCAUUGAACUUCUAAUUCAAAGGUCAUGGGUUCCAAUCCCGCCUGGGGUG